GACGAACGCUGGCGGCGUGCCUAAUACAUGCAAGUAGAACGCUGAAGGAGGAGCUUGCUCUUCUGGAUGAGUUGCGAACGGGUGAGUAACGCGUAGGUAACCUGCCUGGUAGCGGGGGAUAACUAUUGGAAACGAUAGCUAAUACCGCAUAACAGUAGAUGUUGCAUGACAUUUACUUAAAAGGUGCAAUUGCAUCACUACCAGAUGGACCUGCGUUGUAUUAGCUAGUUGGUGGGGUAACGGCUCACCAAGGCGACGAUACAUAGCCGACCUGAGAGGGUGAUCGGCCACACUGGGACUGGGACACGGCCCAGACUCCUACGGGAGGCAGCAGUAGGGAAUCUUCGGCAAUGGACGGAAGUCUGACCGAGCAACGCCGCGUGAGUGAAGAAGGUUUUCGGAUCGUAAAGCUCUGUUGUAAGAGAAGAACGAGUGUGAGAGUGGAAAGUUCACACUGUGACGGUAUCUUACCAGAAAGGGACGGCUAACUACGUG
rnacentral:rRNA from 1 species